GAUAGCAGUGAUGCUUUGUCCAUUCUGGACACGUUGGGAACCACCGCUCGCAGGGCGUAGAACCGAUGGUUGAGCUUCUCGCGCCGCUGCCGCUCGGCCUCUACGUGGUUCAGUGCCGUGUCUCUGCCAAGCCCCGGUUUUCUCCCUCUUUUCUUCGGGAUUCUUUUAUUUAUAUUCGCUGCAAUUAAAGGAUAGUCUGAGUCAGAAUGCUCGGAGUCCACAUAGGACACGCCUGCUUUAGCAUUCUCUUUCUUUGCUUCGUCUUCUUGUGCUAACUUCUCUUUAGGGGCUGCAUCUUCUCCUUGUAUUCCUGCAAUUAUGCCCAUAUCAGCAAAAGAAAUGUUCAUGUCGAGUAACUGGAUGGGUGCUGCGGCGGG
rnacentral:misc_RNA from 1 species